rnacentral:rRNA from 1 species
AGAGUUUGAUCCUGGCUCAGGACUAGCGCUGGCGGUGUGUCUUAGACAUGCAAGUCGGGCGGGAUACCUCGCCGUAGCAAUACGGUGGUGUGUCUAGCGGCGAACGGGUGAGUAACACAAGGGUAACCUUCCUCGAGGAGGGACACAACCCGUCGAAAGGCGGGCUAAUUUCCCAUGUUUUGCAGUGGAGGCAUCUUCGCUGCAACAAAGGCGCUGCAAGGUGCCACCUUGAGACGGGCUCUUGUCCUAUCAGCUUGAUGGCGGGGUAACGGCCCACCAUGGCGGAGACGGGUAGCCGGCGUGAGAGCGUGACCGGCCACAGGGGAACUGAGAUACGGUCCCCACUCCUACGGGAGGCAGCAGUCUAGAAAUUUGGGCAAUGGGCGAAAGCCUGACCCAGCGACACCGCGUGAAGGAUGACGUCUUUCGGGAUGUAAACCUCUGACAGGGGGAACGAGGCCGCACCGGAGUAACUGCCGGUGUGGUGACGGUACUCCCAAAGGAAGCCCCGGCUAACUACGUGCCAGCAGCCGCGGUAAUACGUAGGGGGCAAGCGCUGUCCGGAUUUACUGGGCGUAAAGGGUGUGUAGGCGGACUGGCGGGUCGAUGGUGAAAGUUCGCGGCUCAACCGCGAAAGGGCUGUCGAAACUACCAGACUAGAGGGCGGAAGAGGAAACUGGAACUUCCGGUGUAGCGGUAAAAUGCGUAGAUAUCGGAAGGAACGCCGAUAGCGAAGGCAGGUUUCUGGUACGUACCUGACGCUGAAACACGAAAGCUAGGGGAGCAAACAGGAUUAGAUACCCUGGUAGUCCUAGCUGUAAACGAUGUACAUUAGGCGUGGGGAGUUUUCCCCGUGCCGGAGCUAACGCGUUAAAUGUACCGCCUGGGGGACUACGGCCGCAGGAUGAAACUCAAGGGAUUG